CAACGCGAGGUUGGUGCGAGUGGG
rnacentral:siRNA from 1 species